rnacentral:rRNA from 1 species
GACGAACGCUGGCGGCGUGCCUAACACAUGCAAGUCGAGCGGGGAUUGAGGAAGAGCUUGCUCGGAAUCAAUUCUAGCGGCGGACGGGUGAGUAACGCGUGAGCAACCUGCCUUUCACAGGGGGAUAACGCAUCGAAAGAUGUGCUAAUACCGCGUAAGACCACAGCUUCACAUGGAGCAGGGGUCAAAGGAGCAAUCCGGUGAGAGAUGGGCUCGCGUCCGAUUAGCUAGUUGGUGAGAUAAUAGCCCACCAAGGC